GAUGAACGCUGGCGGCGUGCCUAAUACAUGCAAGUCGAGCGAACGGACGAGAAGCUUGCUUCUCUGAUGUUAGCGGCGGACGGGUGAGUAACACGUGGAUAACCUACCUAUAAGACUGGGAUAACUUCGGGAAACCGGAGCUAAUACCGGAUAAUAUUUUGAACCGCAUGGUUCAAAAGUGAAAGACGGUCUUGCUGUCACUUAUAGAUGGAUCCGCGCUGCAUUAGCUAGUUGGUAAGGUAACGGCUUACCAAGGCAACGAUGCAUAGCCGACCUGAGAGGGGGAUCGGCCACACUGGAACUGAGACACGGUCCAGACUCCUACGGGAGGGAGCAGUAGGGAAUCUUCCGCAAUGGGCGAAAGCCUGACGGAGCAACGCCGCGUGAGUGAUGGAGGUCUUCGGAUCGUAAAACUCUGUUAUUAGUUAAGAACAUAUGUGUAAGUAACUGUGCACAUCUUGACGGUACCUAAUCAGAAAGCCACGGCUAACUACGUG
rnacentral:rRNA from 1 species